AUAAAUGAGUCUCUCUGAAUAUUUAGAUAUAUAUAAAUAUCAUUUUAAUUGAUAAGAUUGGUAUUUAAAUAUUUGAACAGGAUAUUUGUGAUGCCAUUCUAUUGUGGGAUGUUUAUAGACCUUUCGUUGCUAUUGAACCGUCGAAGAAGCGACAAAGAAUAUGACAUUGUUCUUGGCAAGAAAGAAGACGAUGAAACAGUGAAAAACAAGAAGAAGAAGAAAAUGUUAUAUGCAUGUUGUGCUACAAUGUGGCAUGAGACAGCCAACGAAAUGACACAGUUGUUGAAGUCUUUAUUCAGAUUAGACCAGAGACAGUUUAUAAACGACAUGAUAGCUGACGAGAAGCAAGAUGCUGAGGAAGUAGAAACUUUUGAAUUUGAAGGUAAAAGUGGAAAUGGUACAAACAAAUAGUCCCCCUAUUUUUUAAGAAU